rnacentral:rRNA from 1 species
GACGAACGCUGGCGGCGUGCUUAACACAUGCAAGUCGAACGGGCCUGUCUUCUUUUUUGGGGGGUGGGUUGAGUGGCGAACGGGUGAGUAUCACGUGAGUAACCUGCCCUUCGGUCCUGGAUAACCGCUUGAAAGGGCGGCUAAUACGGGGUGGUCCGGUUGGUCCGCAUGGGCUGGUCGGGAUAGAUUCACUGUUUUUGGUGUUUCGGCGGGGGAUGGGCUCGCGGCCUAUCAGCUUGUUGGUGGGGUGAUGGCCUACCAAGGCGGUGACGGGUAGCCGGCCUGAGAGGGUGGGCGGCCACACUGGGACUGAGAUACGGCCCAGACUCCUGCGGGAGGCAGCAGUGGGGGGUAUUGCACAAUGGGCGGAAGCCUGAUGCAGCGACGUCGCGUGAGGGAUGGAGGCCUUCGGGUUGUGAACCUCUGUUUCCGGUGGUGAAGGCCCUGUCCGUGUGGUGGGGUUGACG